UCCCAAAGUGCUGGGAUUACAGGCUUGAGCCACCGCGCCCGGCCUCCAUUUGAGAAUUCUAAGUAGAAUCCUGAACAGGCUGGAGCAGAUCGCCCACUCCAAGGGACAGAUGUUGGCUGGUACUAUUGGUAUUCAUGGAAGAUUCCUUCUGACACUCCCUCCUUUUCUGCAAUUGCCAUGAACUUGAGCACUGGGCCAACAUAAAUCAUCCAAGGAUGAACACGCUGCACACGGACGGCUCCCCUUUGUUUGGUUUUGAAGGGAUUCCAUCUCUAUUCUCUUGCCAUGUGCUCCUUCACCCCCCUCUCUGCCCCCGUCUUUCAUUUCUUUCUCUCUGGAAAAGAUAUUUCAACUCACAGGACUGGGAUGUUGAAACGGACACCCAAGAGUAUCACAGAUGGGCCAGGCCUGGGCCUCUUGGGACAACAUUCCUCACGACUUUUAGAAGAGAUUAGGGAUUUGGGACUGGUGGCAACUGGUAACAUUUUCAGUGUUUGGUGAACAGCCAGGGUCCCGAGCUCUGGGAACAGCCUGAUUUAGCUCUUUGUUUAAGUUUUGGGUUAGAGGCUCCCAAGAAGCUGGUGCAGGGGAAAGAAAUUAACAACCAUGGCUCAUUCACAGCCAGGCAGCCAAAUGGACAGCUCUAUAAGACUCAAGCCGACAGCGGAGAGAGCGCAAUCGAACAGCCUUGGCGCAGCUUUCAGAGGAGAACGUUAUUCACCCCAACUGCUCUGCAUCUGCCUGGACGUCUGCCAAGAUCUGUGAGCACUACAGCGUUGCAGUCUUCUUUAUUCCACCAAUGACUUCGCUCGCGGUGCUUCCAGAAGCCAAGGAAGUGGGCUUUGCCCUUGGGGAUUUAGGAGGCAGAGCGGCGCCCCCUGGAGGCCACAUGGUGGAGGUGGCUAUGAGGCCUGGAGUCUACAGUUUAGAUUGAAUCACAGGAAGAAGCUAUUUACACAAGUCAAACAUGUUUCAAUGUUGGCAAUUUCAUAAGAUUCCAAUCCUUAAGGAAUCAAAGCCUGGUCACCUGCUUCCACCGAGAGGUGUACCUUUCCAUGCCAGGCUUGGAGCGUCCCUCUUUAUUUAAAAAGGAGAGGAUUCCGAAGCAGAACUUCUCAAGCUCUUCCACCCAAAUCCCCUCACCACAGGGACGGAAGUCCUGGGCAUGCAGCCUAAAGCAGCCAGGAGAAAAACUUUGACCUUAAUUUUUUUAAAUGAUUUCACAUGAAUCAAUGGAAUGUGUUUAUGAUAAAAUCAUCUCCUCCUGAAAUAUAUGUGUAAAACUCCUGCCCCAGUUAAAUGCACUUAGUGUAACCGAGCCCUAGGAUUGGCCUCUCCAGCGUGAGAAGCAUUGCCAGCACUCCAGCUCCCCAGGUCCCACUCUGGGAUCCCACCUCCUCAGAUCCUCCCACUUCCUCACACUCUCUGGCCUCUCGCUUUUGACCCUGCUCCCACCACGCUUCCUUUCCUCAGAGUCUAUCAGUCCUCUCUUGUCUUCACCUUGGUCUCUGCCAAGUGUGGGUCCAAGUCACACAUGUGGACUCUGAUCACAGGAACUCCAAGCUCCAGACCUCCCAAAGCACCCUAUGGAGAGACCUUACCUUCUUGGACAGACCCUCUCCCCACAGCUAGAUCUCACCCUCUGGGUAGACCCAUCUCCCCAACUAGAACUCACCCUCCUGAGUAGACCCCAUCCCCCCAGCUAGAUCUCAUCCUCCUGAACAGAUCCCAUCACCCCAGCUAGAUCUCACCCUCUUGGGUAGACCCAUCUCCCCAACCAGAACUCACCCUCCUGGGUAGACCCUUCUCCCCAGCUAGACCUCAUCUUCUGGGUAGACCCCAUCCUCCCAGUUAGACCUCACCCCUCUGGGUAGACCCCAUCCCCCAGCUAGACCUCACCCCUCUGGGUAGAGCCCAACCCCCCAGCUAGACCUCACCCUCCUGGGUAGAGCCCAACCCCCCAGCUAGACCUCACCCUCCUGGGUAGACCCCAACCCCCCAGCUAGACCUCACCCUCCUGGGUAGACCCCAUCCCCCCGGCUAGACCUCACCCUCCUGGGUAGACCCCAUCCCCCCAGCUAGACCUCACCCUCCUGGGUAGACCCCAUCCCCCCAGCUAGACCUCACCCUCCUGGGUAGACCCCAUCCCCCCAGCUAGACCUCACCCUCCUGGGUAGACCCCAUCCCCCCAGCUAGACCUCACCCUCCUGAGUAAACCCCAUUCCUCCAGCUAGACCUCACCCUCCUGGGUAGACCCCAUCCCCCCAGCUAGACCUCACCCUCCUGAGUAAACCCCAUCCCCCCAGCUAGACCUCACCCUCCUGAGUAAACCCCAUUCCUCCAGCUAGACCUCACCCUCCUGAGUAAACCCCAUUCCUCCAGCUAGACCUCACACUCCUGGAUGGACUCGACCCUCCUGGAGAUACCUUUCCCUCCUGGGUAGACCCCAGUGGCUACACACCCCUCCUUCCACCAGCUUUCUCCCCCAGGGUUCUAGGCAGCAGAGUGUCUCUGUGAAAAGGAUACUAAGUGAUUCCCCAAUAUUUCUGUUUCCAGCCUCUGGUUGGCUCUCCCUGGGGCUAAUGGUUCUUUCACUCACUAUUUCUCCAGGCUUUCCCUGAUGACAAGUAUAUUCUGAGACUGUUCUAAUGAUAUAGAUUUUGGACCCCAUCCCAGUUCUACUGAAUCCGAGUCUCUGGGGGAGGAGUUGGGGCUCUGCAUCUGGACACUUCCUGCAGGGCCCCUCCUGGGAGGCAAGCCCGAGGAGCACCGCUGAGGCUCACCUCAGUGCCCAUCCUAGACCUUCAGCAGCCAGCAGAAGAUGUCUCCGCCGUCCCUCAGCCCUGAUUCCCACUGUCACCCCAGCCGGGCUUGGCACUGCCUCCUUUCUCACUCAGAAGAUUAAGGCCAUCUGUUCUGUGCUUCCCAAGUUUCCCACCCUCCACCCUAAAAAUUUCUCCCUGUUUCCCAGUCUUUCCUCUUCUCUUAGAAAAUAAACGUCUUCCCAGGCUGCCUCUCCGGUGGGUCUGGGCUCCUCCUUGCUGUCUCCCCAGCACCUGGCCUUUCCAGCCCCCCCCUCGGUAUGUCCAGUGUUUCCCUCACCAAAGGACUUGUUUUGUUUUUCAAAUUGGAGGUUUUGUCUUCUCCUCCCUAAAAACCAAAACAUCUCCCUGAGAAGUAACUCCAUCAAGCUACCGAUAGGGAAGGCGGGCAGGGAAGUGCUGGGAAGGGAAGGGUGUGGUCCCUGGCUAGGGCUCCACCCCGGGGCCUGUACCCACAGACCUAGGUGAGGACAGGCAUUUCUGUUUUCGUGCCUAAACGUUGCAUUUCCCAAGACUACCCUGGCCUGCCACACCCUCAUCCUGUGCCUACAAAAAUCCCGAGAGCCCCGCAGGCAUGCACACAAGCCUCUGGACGUCAACAGGAACACACCGGUGUAAGAGCACACUGAUAGAGGCCCGUGGCAGGCUGGCAGGCCAUCGACAGGCAGAACCACUCGGUGCAGUUGGAGGAGAUCUCGGCCACUGAGCGGUCCGACUUCAGAGGGGAAAACCACCUUCCCACUCCAUCUCCCUUCUGGCUCCCCCAUCUGCUGAGAGCUACUUCCACACAAUAAAACUUUGCAGUCAU